AUCAACGCUGGCGGCCGUGCCUAACACAUGCAAGUCGAACGAGAAAGUGGAGCAAUCCAUGAGGUAAAGUGGCGACCGGGUGAGUAACACGUGACUAACCUACCUUCGAAUGGGGAAUAACUCCGGGAAACCGGGGCUAAUACCGCAUAACACCGCAAGGUCAAAGGCAGCAAUGUGUUUGAAGAGGGGGGUCGCGGCUGAUUAGCUAGUUGGCGGGGUAGGGUAACGGCCCACCAAGGCGAAGAUCGGUAUCCGGCCUGAGAGGGCGCACGGACACACUGGAACUGAAACACGGUCCAGACUCCUACGGGAGGCAGCAGUGGGGAAUUUUGCGCAAUGGGGGAAACCCUGACGCAGCAACGCCGCGUGGAGGAUGAAGCCCCUUGGGGCGUAAACUCCUUUCGACCAAGACGAUAAUGACGUACUGGUGGAAGAAGCACCGGCUAACUCUGUGCCAGGCAGCCGCGGGUAAUACAGAGGGUGCGAGCGUUGUUCGGAAUUAUUGGGCGUAAAGGGCGCGUAGGCGGUGCCACAAGUCCCUUGUGAAAUCCCCGGGCUUAACUCGGGGCCUGCAGGCGAAACUGUGGUUGCUGGAGUGUGGGAGAGGUGCGUGGAAUUCCCGGUGUAGCGGUGAGAAUGCGUAGAUAUCGGGAGGAAACCUGUGGCGAAAGCGGCGCACUGGACCAUAACUGACGCUGAGGCGCGAAAGCUAGGGGAGCAAACAGGAUUAGAUACCCUGGUAGUCCUAGCCCUAAACGAUGAUUGCUUGGUGUAGCAGGUACCCAAUCCUGCUGUGCCGCAGCUAACGCGAUAAGCAAUCCGCCUGGGGAGUACGGUCGCAAGGCUGAAUGAACUCAAAGGCAUUGACGGGGGCCCGCACAAGCGGUGGAGCAUGUGGUUUCAAUUCGACGCAACGCGAAGAACCUUACCUGGGCUCGAAGCGCAGUGGAAUUCCGGUGGAAACAUCGGCGCCCCUUAAAAGGCCGCUGCGGAGGUGCUGCCUGGCUGUCGUCAGCUCGUGUCGUGAGAUGUUGGGUUAAGUCCCGCAACGAGCGCAACCCCUUAUCCCUAGUUGCCAUCGGGUCAAGCCGGGCACUCUAGUUGAAACUGCCUCAGAUAAUGAGGAGGAAGGUGGGGAUGACGUCAAGUCCUCAUGGCCUUUAUGUCCAGGCUACACACGUGCUACAAUGGUCGGUACAAACCGUCGCAAACCCGUGAGGGGGAGCUAAUCGGAAAAAGCCGGCCUCAGUUCGGAUUGGAGUCUGCAACUCGACUCCAUGAAGCUGGAAUCGCUAGUAAUCGCGGAUCAGAACGCCGCGGUGAAUACGUUCCGCGGCCUUGUACACACCGCCCUUCACAUCACGAAAGUCGGCUGUACCAGAAGUCGGUGUUCUGACUCGCAAAGAGAGGGAAGCCGCCUAAGGUAUGGUCGGUAAUUGGGGUG
rnacentral:rRNA from 1 species